GCUUGGCUGAGGAGCCAAUGGGACGAAGCUACCAUCUGUGGGAUUAUGACUGAACACCUCUAAAGAGGGGUUCAGA